UCCAUCGUGGUGUAGUGGCUAACAUUGCUGUCUUUCAUGAUGCGAUAACGUAUACUGAGCACAGCAGCCCGGGGUUCGAUUCCCCGCGAUGGAA